AUUGAACGCUGGCGGCAUGCUUUACACAUGCAAGUCGAACGGCAGCGCGGGCUUCGGCCCGGCGGCGAGUGGCGAACGGGUGAGUAAUACCUCGGAAAGUGCCCAGUAUUGGGGGAUAGCUCGGCGAAAGCCGGAUUAAUACCGCAUACGACCUGAGGGUGAAAGCGGGGGAUCUUCGGACCUCGCGCUAUUGUAGCGGCCGAUGGCAGAUUAGCUAGUUGGUGGGGUAAAGGCCUACCAAGGCGACGAUCUGUAGCUGGUCUGAGAGGAAGACCAGCCACACGGGGACUGAGACACGGCCCAGACUCCUACGGGAGGCAGCAGUGGGGAAUUUUGGACAAUGGGCGAAAGCCUGAUCCAGCAAUGCCGCGUGUGUGAUGAAGGCCUUCGGGUUGUAAAGCACUUUUGGCGGGAACGAAAAGGACUGUGCCAAUACCACGGUUCGAUGACGGUACCCGCAGAAUAAGCACCGGCUAACUACGUG
rnacentral:rRNA from 1 species